CCUACGAGAGGCAGCAGUGAGGCAUAUUGGUCAAUGGGCGCGAGCCUGAACCAGCCAAGUAGCGUGAAGGAUGACUGCCCUACGGGUUGUAAACUUCUUUUAUAAAGGAAUAAAGUGAAGCACGUGUGCCUUUUUGUAUGUACUUUAUGAAUAAGGAUCGGCUAACUCCGUGCCAGCAGCCGCGGUAAUACGGAGGAUCCGAGCGUUAUCCGGAUUUAUUGGGUUUAAAGGGAGCGUAGAUGGGUUGUUAAGUCAGUUGUGAAAGUUUGCGGCUCAACCGUAAAAUUGCAAUUGAUACUGGAAGCCUUGAGUACAGUUGAGGUAGGCGGAAUUCGUGGUGUAGCGGUGAAAUGCUCAGAUAUCACGAAGAACUCCGAUUGCGAAGGCAGCUUACUAAACUGCCACUGACAUUGAUGCUCGAAAGUGUGGGUAUCAAACAGGAUUAGAUACCCCGGUAGUC
rnacentral:rRNA from 1 species